AAAUUCCGCUCAUAGCGGUGGGUCAGCGGCAGAUACAACAUGGUCCAAAAGUUCCAAUUGCACAUGAUUGGAACGAAAGGAAACAGGAAAAGCUCAGCCAGUGCCGAUGCCUGAUAACAAAGAUGAGGACCUAAGGAGUAACACCCUCAUCCCCAAAGGUUGUGGAUUCAAGCCCCACCAGGAGAUUCAAGUAUAAAAUUCUGGCUGAUACCACAGGAGUGCUACGCUGUUAUCUUUCAAAUGAAAUGUUAAACUUAACUUCAAACGAGUGAGUAUCUUAAAAUGAAGAGUGUUUUGCUACAGUGGGACGGCACUUCGAGGAGUCCAGGAAUCCAUACUGAGACCACACCAGGCUGCCAUGCUGGGCCGAGAGACCACAAUUCCAGGCCGAGAGACCACAAUUCCAGGCCGAGAGACCACAAUUCCGAGCCGAUAGAGCACAAUUCCAAACCAAGGGAAGACAAUGCCAGGUUGAGAGGCCACAAUUCCAAGCCGAACGACCAUGAUGUCGGGCCAACAGACCACCACACUGGACUACUGAAAGAUCACCACAGCAGGCUGUGCAUCCACCAUGUUGUUUAGGGCAAUUUAUGCUUUUUGUGAUCCCAGGUAAAAUUUGUCGAAAGAAAGUCAAGCUGGCUGGCAAAACUGAUUGGGUCCCUGGGCAUUGGUAACAUCUCUGGUCCUAAUAUAUUCUCCUGAUCAUCUUAAUGCAGAUUGGACAAACAAUGCAAUUUGAUAUUAAAGAUUGAAUAGUGCUGUGCUGAUUCUGGGCUGACUUUAACGCAAAAGGCUGAAGCAGUGGAGCGAGGAGUAAUGUUUUCGAAGCUGCCAUACAAACAGAUUAGCUGGUAUGGUGCAGCCUCAAGGGAGCAGAGGAGACUGAGUAGUUCAGAACAUUAUUGAGAGAGGUUGCAGUGCAAAUAGACUACAGUUCACUGCAAUACUCACUACCUAUAGUGGUUAAUGAUGCCCAAAGAAACUACAGUGUGUCAAUCAACUUGCUGAUAAUGGCAGUUUUGUCAAUACCCAUCAGAAAUCACUGCCUGGACAGUGAAAAUGCUUGGAUGUUUUCAAAAACAGACAUAAGUGGAAAUUUCUAAGAGAUAUUUACAUUGCUUUGAGAUUGUCCAAAGGGAUUUGUUCACUGACUGUUUACCCACCUGUUAUUACCUGAUUCUGUUUGUGUAGAAGGAUUUCGAGGUCAGCCUGCAAACUAACAUCAAACAAUAAGCAGACAACUACCAGAGCUCCUGACGAACACACAUGAAAAGAUUCAUUUGCUUCACUGGCCACUCACCCAUUCUAUUACUUCUUCUACAUAUUGAAGGAAGAAAGUUUUCCCUUUGAUGGAGCAUCGAGGGCUGGGGGCACAGGUUUGAGGUGAGGGGCAGGAGGUUUUAAGGUGUUGUGAGGAAAAGUUUUUUCACCAGAAGGUGGUGGGAUUCUGGAACUCACUGCAUGUAAGGUUAAGGAUGUUAGAAGCAGAAACUUUCUUGAUCUUUAAGUAGUAUUUAGAUGCGCACUUGUGAUGCACAUGGAAGACUGUCAUCCAAGUUUCGGAAAAUUGAAUUAGAAUAGUAAGGUGGCUGUUUUUGACCAGUGCAGAUGUGAACGGCCAAAGGGACUUUUAGUGUGUGCUGUAGAUCUCUAUGACCCUAUGAUUUCUGAGCUUGCUACAGGCUCCUGCUCCUCCUGCUGUUGUCCUCACCUUCUGAUGUAGACAGCCGCAGCAAGCGACAUGCCAGCAGCAACAGAGCCCAUCACUCUCGGCGGGGAGAGGACUUCAAUGGGGAACAGGUAGCAAAUCAGCUUUGACCAGCAUCUGCCCCUAAGGACCUCUGUUGCAUAACAAAUGGGUGUUGAAAUAAUUGUCAAUUCAAUGUGACAAUGCUUACUAAGUGGCCUCUUCAUAUAUUAACAUCGAGUGAAGACGGACUGUGACCGUUGGUACAUUGAACUGACACUGUCUCCACCCACCCUGAGCAUUGUUCCAGCCAUUUCUACACCUAGUGAGGGGCAAGUGAGGGCUGAGAACACAGCCCAUGGUUGACACUGUCUGCAUUAGGAUCUGCUGAGUGGUUAGAUACCCCACUCUGAAGCUUCCAUGACCCCUACUAUCUCACACUGCUCCAACAACCCACUUCAAUCCAUCAUCGCCAUGUGGAGACACACCACAUUGUACUUCGCCUACAGCUAUCCUCCCUGCCCUGCCGAUUCCUGGCAUUACACCUGGUAGAUAUCCACCUUGCUCUUUUAUGUGCCCUGUAUGGAGGUCAUGAUGCUGGCCACUAUCAAUAAUGCCCCUCCCAUAGCCUGCCAUACCCUCUGAUGCUGUUUGACAAAGCCUCAACUCCCCUUGAGGUUCCUCCUGCCACCAUUCUUAACUCUACCACUUAAAAGGGAUUUCCUGCUACCCCAAAAGGAUUCCCUUACACCCUUCUGAACGAUGGAUGACUAGACCCCCAAAUCUGUAUCCACCCCAGACUUCUGACUGACCUUGAUAACCACCCCUAUAUGUUACUGGCUGACCCUCUUACACUGACAGUAACUGACCAUGUAUGAUUCUCCUGACUUCUGCUGGAGCAGACCCUGCAGGAAUGACCACUGCACACUCCCCAGACUGCACUGGGACACAUCCCCUGUCUGUGCCAGUCCUAAAUAAACAACUGACCUGUGGACCGCGUGUAGACCAUCCCUGUGGCUGACAAUACUUGGACCCUUGACCCACAACACUUUGACUGACCUGUAGAUUAAGCUUCACCACUUUCCCACAUGGCCAUUUGGUUGAAUACCCAGGCUUUGCUAGCGGGCAGCUGGCACAUGUUGUCGGUGUUAGAUUGAUGUGUCAGUGUGCUAUACAGCAAAACCCUUCACCAGCCUCACAAACAUAUCACUCACUGACGAGCAGCCUGUCUGUGUGUAGGAGCUAAGGAAGGCGUCGAGAUAGCAGUAAUGAUAGCCUUUGGCUCUGGCAGAACCACAAACAUGUCAACAGGAAUGGCACAGCGAGGGGAAAGGCAGGGCAGAUGUGCUCUGAGCUGUGCACUAGGUAAAUGAGCACAAAGAAAUCAAACUCUGAGAUGCCAAGAUAAUGAAAUG